rnacentral:lncRNA from 1 species
AACCCAGUGACGUACAAUGAUGUACUGGUGAGCUUUACUCGGGAAGAAUGGGCUUUGCUGGAUCCUUCCCAGAAGAGUCUCUACAAAGAUGUGAUGCUCGAAACCUAUAAGAACCUCACUGCCAUAGGCUAUAACUGGGAAGAUGACAAUAUUGAAGAAGAUUGUGAAAAUUCUGGAAGACCCAGAAGGCAUCUUCAAAGGGAUGGACCAAGUAAUACUAGAGAGAAACCCUUUGAAUGUAUUCAAUAUGAUGGAGCCUUUGCAAGAAACCAUCAUCAUCAGUUAUAUAAGAGCACUGGAUCUUUCAUGUCUUCUACUGAUCAUCAGAUACAUAGAAGACCACACACUGAAGAAAAAGUCUAUGAUGGUAACCAGUGUCGUAAAACCUUUGCACGACACAGUCAGCUUCAAACACAUAAAAGAAUACAUACAGAAGAGAAACCCUGA